rnacentral:tRNA from 1 species
AGCAGUGUAGCUCAGUGGUAGAGUGCUUGCCUAGCAUAUGUGAAGGCCUGGGUGUGAUCCCCAGCACUGCGG